UACAGAGGUCUCAAGCGUUGUUCGGAUUCAUUGGGCGUAAAGGGUGCGUAGGCGGCGCGGUAAGUCUGGUGUGAAAUCUCGGAGCUCAACUUCGAAAUUGCACUGGAUACUGCUCUGCUAGAGGGCUGGAGAGGAGAUCGGAAUUCACGGUGUAGCAGUGAAAUGCGUAGAUAUCGUGAGGAAGACCAGUGGCGAAGGCGGAUCUCUGGACAGCUCCUGACGCUGAGGCGCGAAGGCUAGGGGGAGCAAACGGG
rnacentral:rRNA from 1 species